GCCCCGCCCUGCGCUGCACUCCUGGGUGGCUCCCCACCCUCGCCAACUCAGCCGGACCAGUCGGGACCGUUGGGAGGGGAUGCAGAGGGGCAGAGAAGCACUGCGGGCUGUUCUAGGCAUCCCAGUUAGUUGGGGAGAGAGAUGUGACUCGGGGUGGUCGUGUUUCAUGGGCUCCCUCGGGCUCUAUUUCUUCGCCAAGCAUCAGGUCGUUCUGAGAAACACUAAGCAGGUGCUUUGUACGCUUUGGUCCAGUAUCCCCUGGCUGUGGUGACCCACCACGGAACUUGGCAUGUUGACGCACAUGGCCUUGGGACCACAAGAACUCCUGUCUGUCGCCUUCCCUUUCUUCUCCCUCUCGGCUGCUCCCUUUCUUCUUGGAACUAUCUAGGCAGUGUUUUUCUUGUAGAACGUCUUCGUGAAAACUUUCACUUUGGGGAGAGGGAACAGCUCUGCUCAAUUUAGCAAGUACCGUUUCUCAUCUUGCCUCCAAAGCAGAAACUGAUUUAGUAACCCGACCUUCUUCCACCACUGAUUUCAACUUUCCAAAAAACCCCACACUUGUCCUUUGGUCCUUUUGCUUGAACUCAGUCAGAUAGUGGACCUCGAAGUUUGAGAUAGAGGGCCCACUAGGGAUGAAGAAAAAUGCACCCUCUUUCCCCUCCACGUGUGACCUUUCCGUCCCAACAAGAGUUGGAGGUGGUGAUGGUAACAGGAUGACAGAGCUUGGAGAACCGCCCAGCUCCAUGCAGGACCUUCCAGAAAAAUGCUUCAGUUAAAUCCAGAGAUACCCUGUGGAAAAACAGUAAAUUCAGACUGGCCACUCCAGCGGUGUGGGGACCAGCCAGCUGGGCUCCAGUGCACUUGGCUUCAGCUACUGGGCUCCUGCCCAAACCUAGCACCUCCCCAGGGGCAUGUGGUGGAGAGGAUAGGAUAGCACAGGAGAGAGGGAUGGAUCUAGAUUUUUCUUUAUAGGAAUAUGAUCCCAUAUGACCACUUUGGAUUUGGCAAAACUUUACUCGAAUGGUCAGGAAAGUACUCCGGGUGGUGUAGGAAGAGGUGGGCUGAUGUUUAUAUUCUUACUACCAGAGCACAGGGCUGGACCUCAGCCCAGGAAACUCGGCAUCAUUAGAGAGAAGAAGGUUUUUUUUUUUCCCCCAGAGAGGACUGAUCCAGGGGUACCUACUAAGCCCCAGCCCAUGCGACAGGUGAGCUGUCCUGUGACUCUAUUCGGUGUCACAGCUUCUGCAGGGGGAAGCUUCUGGCCUUGUCGUUGCCUUAGACAAGGUGGAACUGAGAGCUGGAACUUGAACUCAGGCAAGUUCCUUCAGAACAGGCCAGAGCUAGACCUAGAUGUGGGAGAUGGGCUUCCAGGGGGCCGGACUUACCAUCUCACUUUGGGGAGAAGUAAAGAGCUAUGCAGCUGCUGAGAAGAGAUUGGUGUGACAGGAGUUAGUUAGAAAUGGGCAGAAGAAGUGACCCACACUGGUGGCCCACAGUCCCCUGGGGAGGAAGUAGUGUGUCACACGUGCUGACAUCCUUGAGUAGUUCUUGAACAGGCGCUGUUUGGAGGAGGGCUGGUGUAGGACAGGCCUAGAGGAGGAGGGCAGAAGGUAGGAGUCUGGGCUACUUUUGUAAGAAUCUGAGUGUGUACCGGUGACAUUUUAAAGAAACACACGUGGGAAACAAAGUAGCUCUUACUGUUGGUGGCCUAGCUGCACCAGGCCCUGGGUUACUGGCACAAGCAGAGGCUGAAUACUUGGCUGGUUGAGUUGCUUUGGGGAGACAGGUCCUUCUUUGGCCAUCAGGGCCACCAAUGUGGAGACAGCCAUAGAAUAUAGAGCUGGGGGGCAGCCUUCUCCCUUCCUUUUGUAAAUAUUUGUUGCUCUGUAUCGUGUCUGACACAGUGUGUCUGUGGGCCUGAUACUUAGGGACUACCAGUUACAUGGGUGGAUGGAUAGAAAGAUAGGAGAUGCUAGGAGUACAUCACGGGCCCUUAGCCUUGCUUCGCCCUGACUCGCCAUCUGAGACUGUGUCCUAAGGUAUCUCCCGGAGCAGGAUGUGGGAGACAGUCAGCUCCUUUGACUCAGUUCCAUUCUGGCUCCUGCUUUCAGCAGCUGGUGCUCAGGGCAGCUAGCUCACUUGAUGUCACGGUUGAGUAAGAAUUGCUUGCUUGCUUGCUCCGGUGCAUAGUAUAGGUGGGGAUGCUGGGAGGAUACAGAGGCCUGUUUUGAGAAGCACCCCUGAGUAUAACAUGAAGGGGAAUCGACUGUGAGACACACUGAGGUCAGAGAGGUUCUGAGGCAGGGUCUCAGCAGAAAGCUCAGGAGAUAGGUGGGAGUGUGGUGGGAGGGAGGCGAUGUCCAAGGCGUUGCUUUGGGAGUCACGAUGGCUCUUUGGAUGGAGAAAGUGCCAUCAUUGCAUAAAACCCUUGUCUGCAGGUCGGUUAAUGGAAACACCAGAGAACAUGUCUUGUUUGGAAAUAGAGAUAAAUUUAUCAGCGCAUCAGGGUUUGGCUGAGACACGUACACGUAUACCAGAGGACAAGGACCUGUUACUUAUCACUGACCAGGAGAGUACAAGAAGAGAGUGAGAGUGAAUGCCCACGAGUUCGAGGCUAGUUUGGGCAACAGAUUGAGACCCUGUGUCACGUUUUAAAACAAAAAGGUAUAGUCAUAUAGGGUAGCAGCAACAAAGGUAUCAUAUAAUUCAUACUUCUGCUUCAGGCGCCUUUUUACAGAACCAGUGCUGUAAUUCUCCUGGUACAGCUGACUAUCACGCAGCAGCACCUUGAGCCCAUGCGUGGAUCAUGAACCCGUUCGUAGCCUGUGCUGUUGACAGAGCAACGGAGAUUAUAAACCAGAUCCAGCUAAGUAGAGCUAAGAGCCGAAAAACAGUGCCCCAGAUGGCCGUGGCUUUGGGAUGAUGACGAAGGAUGACUCUCCAACGGGCAUAGGAAUUGGGACAGAGUUGCCUUUAGCUACUGGCCCAGGAGAAGCCCAGAGUAUAAGGGGUUGUAGAAAAGAUGUCUCCCAGCCAGAGUCCUAGACUGUAAAUUGUUUUUGGGUAGGAAAGGCCCUUCCGGAUCUGGAGACAUUUCAAAAGAGUAAUCAACAUGUGAGGUGCUGCAUGUAAAAAGCCAGGGAAAGACUCUGUGGAUAGGAGAAACUCAGUCUACCCAUCCUUACUCCAGCAAAGCCAGUCCUACCCAAGACAUCCCAAACCGACAAGCCCAGAGGUCUCCAAGCCUCAUGUGCGGGCAGAGGUGGGCUAGAGGGGACAGCUAGAGGUUUUCAGAAGUUCUCCCUCCUAGCCUCACCCCAGAGCCUCUGAAGGCAGAGGCCACGGAACCACGCCUCUUGGAGGCACGGACUCUUUGUUAAAUGGGUUUUAUUUAGGUGGCUUCUUUUAUGUGAGCCUUGAGCAGGCUGACACUGUGAGCGUUAGUACCUGGUCCUGCUGAACUCAGGAGAUUCAAGAGGCAGCACAAAGUCCUCCCCUGAGGAAGCUCACAGUUAACACAGUCGGGGCAAAGACAGUCAUUCAUAUUCCUGGAGACAGUUAGACAGUUUCUCAUCUACAGUGCAAGUUUUGCUAUUGGUAGUUGGAUGCACUUUUUGUCUCUUUAACCAAAAAAAAAAAAAAAAAAAAAAAGAGAGACGAGGGUUGGUAGAAAGCAUGAAUGGAGUUUCUGCGGUCCUAAACCGUUUCCCUGGCAUUUGUAGAGCCUGCCUUACUGGCUGGUGUCUUACUUUUCUUAAUGCUCUCUGAUGGUCUGCUCAAGUGUUAAAUAGUAAGGCUCGAUAAAAUUAGUAAGUUAACAGGAUCGAAAGCCAGGCAUUAAGUUUACUUUAUCCCAUCCCGGGGAGCAAUAAAUAGAUUGUCCCGGAACUUGAGUGAGAUUGGUCAGGGACGUCAGGAUGGUGAGCUGGCUGGCCAGAUGCCUCAGCGCAGCAGGAUGAAUUCUGAGUCCCUUUGGAGCUGGGUGAUCCUGGGCAAAUUCUGUGCCUUGGACUCAGACAUCAGACUUUCCGUGAGCUUACAUUUCUCAUGGACAAAGCUCUGGUCCCGGAACCUGUGAGGGAGCAGUCACUCUUGGCAGUGCUUUGAGUACUGACCCCUGGCUCUGGCCUGUGUGGGACCAGACCUGACUGGUGCCAGCCUCCCUGGCCUUCAGGGCCAUAGCAGUGAAGGGCCUGGGUCAGUGGUUUUGAGAUCCCUUUGUUAGAGCUGCCUGUGAGGAAGGAAACCACCAGUCUGUGAGGAGAUUGUGCUCCUGUAUCCCGCUCAAAGGCUUGGAUGCCCUGGAGAGGCUCCCACUUUAAAUUAUGAUUUGUAAAGCCAUGUUUGGCACUGAAGGAAUGCCUCCAUCUUGACCAUAGCCACCCUUACUUCAGCUUUCAGUCAGUUUAUGUGUCUUUCUGGGAGUCAGUGGGAGUCACAUGCCCACUCCUAAGAACCAAUGCCACAGGGUAAUUCUUUGCUCCCCUCUGUGACCUUGGACUUUCCCCUCCUGGUCCUUCUGGUUAAGGCCCUACUGAGCUGUGUCUUUUGCUUCGACACUUUCUCUGACACCAGAAAAGAAAAAUGCUUGCAACAGAGAAACUGAAGAGGGUAGUAGACAUCUUGAAUGUUUCCCUAAAAACUCAGAAGCCCCUGGAAAGUUGGUGUGACUCAGACCUGCUAAGUGACAGGUAUCUAGAACCACCGGGUUACAUUAGCCAGGACAACAUGCUUCAGAAACAGACAUAAGUGGUAAGGGGGGGGGGAGUUAGAGCGCUGGAAGGGCAGAAUACAUCCCAAAUCCACCCAAACCAUUCCUUGAACAGUGUCUGUGUACUCAGGAGUAUGGCAGGUAUAGGGAAUGAGAGGUCAAGUUAACUGACCUUUCUUAUUGAGAAGCUUUCGCGAUGCCUGACUGUGGGCUAAACUUCUGUCUGAGCUUCCCUUUUUGAAUGUGUGACUGGUUUCCUCACGAGUAAAACAAUAAUGGAAAUAAGGUUUUUUUUUUUUUUCUCACCCUGCUCAGAGAUAUUAGCACGAAGGACAUCGUUUCACGAAGUGUUCAGCACCAUCUGGUGUAUUUCUAGAUAGAACUCUGCCCUGUCAGCUGUAGUGGCAACCAUUGUCAUGACCAUCAAAGCUCCAGCGAGGCAGUCAGUUCAGAAGAAAGGUCUAGAAUGUCUGUCCUGUGCAACACUUCAUGUGGGUGAGUUGGGCGCUUUAGGAAAGGUGCACAGAGGAGUGGAAACGUGGCCUGAGACGGACAUGGAGUUUGCUAGUCUGGAAAGGUUCUCUGGGCCAAGGGAGUUAAAGGCUGCUUUUCUAUAGCCUCUGACCGUCCAGUCCCAAUCAUUACCCCAGCAUUGAGCUUCUGAAAAGUAUGUGGCUUCCUCUGAAGUGGCUGCAUGUGUGGCACCCCGGGAGUGUGUGUGUGCAUGUGUGAGUGUGCAUGCCGAGACCAGCGACAUAUGUUGAGCAUCUCCGUUCAUCACGCACCCCCACCUUUUGUUUUGAGACAGGGUCUCUCAUUGAACCUAGAGUCCAUAGGUUCAGCUAGAUUGCCUAGCCAGCGAGCCCCACAGACUCUCCUCAGUGCUGGGAUGAUAGAGAUAAAACACUUACUGGCUUUUCCACAUGGGUGCAGGAGAUGGAACUGGGACUUCAUGCUUGUGCCUCAGUUUACUGACCUGAGCAUUUCCCUAGUCCUUAAGACUUUUAUACGCACUAUCUCAUUUACUGGGUUAGAGCUUACAGGAGACGGCAGUUGAUAGACACUCUAUGUCCUUCUUGAACCUGGCCUGGUUUUGUUUUUAUGUUCUGGAAAUUCCUCAUAGGGAAAAAUUUGUCAUGUCUUCAGGAAAGAGGGGGAAAAAGAACCCAAACAAUUUGGGAGUUUACAAAUAGCCUAUUAUUUUGAUUGCUAGGACAGUUUGUUGAGUUAGCAUAUUUUGUAAAUGGUUCUGUAUAGCAUUGGUUGACAGCAACUGCUCCCUAGCCAUGGGACAGUCACAUCUGUGCACUGAAUUCUCGGAGGGCUGGUAGUCGUGGUUGGAAUUUUUGAUAAUUUCCAAAUUUGAAUAACCCAUGUCUUCAUGAGUCAGAGCCUUGUGCAAUAAUUUAGACUUCAGGAACGUCUUCUUCCCUGGGUUGUGCAAUGAGCUCUCUAGAAGGAGAUGCUAGGCUGCCUGUGCAGUGAGCAUGUUUGUCUCAGUGUGGAUGAGAUGUAGAAUUCCCUUCCACAGUCUUGGGCAAGAUGUUACCCGAUCAUCCAACACUUGGGGCAUCUCACGCCCUGUGACUAAGAUGAGUUUUCUAUUUGGUACCCAUACUCAAAGUAGGAGUCAUCAGUCAGUAAUUACUCUGUAGACAGAUGGAUACAGACUGCUGCCAGUUGGGGUUGCCUCAGUAUAUGCCGGCCGGCUGGAUAUGGGAGAGAGAGGGCUCAUCCAAAAGUUAACACCUGCUUUUCACAGAUACACACACACACACACACACACACACACACACACACACACACACAGACACACAGAUACAGACAUACACAGAGACAUACACAGACAUACACAGACACACACACAGACACACACACAGAGAGACAUACACAGACACACACACAGAGACAUACACAGACAUACACAGACACACACAGAGACAUACACAGACACACACACACAGACAUACACAAACAUACACAGACACACACACAGACAUACACAAACAUACACAGACACACACACACAGACACACAGACACAGACACACAGACACACACACAGAUAUACACACACAGACACACACACAGACACACACAGACAUACACACACACACACACACACACACACACACACACACACACACACACACACAGAGUGAGCCACCUGGAGGUGGAAUAUUAUAUUCUUGGGUCAGGAUGAGGGAAAUGUCACCAAAUCACAGUGAUCUAAAGAGUGACCACUACUGUUCUAAUUGGGCGACAGGCCUUGUCUUGUUCCUUUGUGGAUAUGGGAAGGUAGUGGCAUUAACCCUGCUGCCUAGCUAUAGAAACAGAAGAGGUUCCAAGAGGUUUUAUCUACCUAGGGCCACCCACUAAGGAGAGAGCUAGGAUUUGAACUUGGCUCCGCCUCACUAUCAGACUGGGGGGCUUCCUUAACUCAGGUUGUUUAAAAGCAUGCUGAUUAAUCUUCAGACAUUUGGAGUCUUUUUCAACAUCUUCCCUUUUAUAAGACUUUCGGGUUUAGUUCUAUAGUGGUCUUAGAACACCUUUGGGGAUUUCUGAUCUUUUGAAUUCAUUGGAGUGUGUUUUCUGGCCUUGAAUGUGGUCAGUCUUGGGAACAGCUCCAUAUGGGCUGGAGAAGAGCAUGUGUUUGGCUGUUGUUGACUGGAAUCUUCUAGAUAUCAGUUAGAUGGUGCAGGCUGGUGGUGCUGUUUAACUAGACACUGCUUUUGCACCUGUGUUGGCAGGGUGUGAAGGAAGGAUGCUAAAGCAACCUUGGCUACAGUCUGUCUUCUGGGACUCCAUUUUAGGGAACUGGACCUCCUCAGCCCCACCCCCACCCCGCAUGAGUCACUGACUCCCUGUGCUCUGUUUCCUGAUUGUGUUGCUUAAGGAUAAUGGUACUGGGAACACCAGCAGGGGAUUUUUUUUUUUUUUUUUUUUUGGUUCUUUUUUUCCGGAGCUGGGGACCGAACCCAGGGCCUGCCUUGCGCUUCCUAGGUAAGCGCUCUACCACUGAGCUAAAUCCCCAGCCCCACCAGCAGGGGAUUUUAAGGUCAGGUAAACUAAUGGGAUAGUGAAUGAGCUUUGUCAACCGGGAAUAGGAAUGAUUGACCGAUACCUGGACUGCUAGACAGUAGGUCCACACUCUUCCAGAUCUCGUGCUAGCAAAACAAACAAAAAACAAAACAAAACAAAACUGACCAGGCAACCAACCAAUCCCCCCCCCCAAAAAAAACCCCAAAACACCAUGACUGAUCCAGAAAAGAUAGAAAAGUAGGGUGGAUCUUACUGGGUCACUUCUGUCCAUGGUCACGGUCAAAGAAUCCCUGAGACUGGGUACUUUACAAAGAAGCUUAUUUUGCUCACUUUUCUGGAGGUGCAGGCAUAUGCUUGACUCUGGUAGAGAUGUCAUGGUGGGUGGCACCAUGGGAGUGUGAACUGGAGAGGUUGUGAGACAAUGUGGAAGUCAGAAAGAGACCUACAGAGGCCAGGCUUGUUCUGUGGAAACCACCCUCUCGUAAGAACUAACCAAGGACCCAGGAGAACUGCCUUAUUUCCCGCUAAAGGCCAGACCCUCCAGUUAUCCAGUUGCUUCCUUAUAAGGCCCUGUCUCCAAACGUUCCACAUCACCCCCUAACGGCACCACAUGGGGACACAUUCUAACCACAGAAGCUCAACAUUGCCACCAUGGAAUCUGCUGUACUUUCCACUACACAUCUGUAGCCACACGAGCUCCUUGAUUUUGUCUUUCCUUGGUGUUUGUGGAUCAAGACACUGCCCUGUGGAGACACCAGAGGUUGGUCAAAGCCACCAACUAAUUGUAGGGAAGACAGCAUCUCAGUACCUGAAGCCGAAAGGUGCUGCCGGCCUCACAGCCCAGUUCCUCACACUGUAGGUGGGAAAGCUGAGGCACCCGAAGGGAACUUGGUUCUCACAAGCUGUGUUAUUAGACUUGUUGGAGUCAGAGCCUGGGCCCUGUCAGCCCUAAUAAACUACAUUCACGUGCAUGUCCUCAACAGGUCAAUAAAAGACACAAUUAAUAGUGAGAAGCAGAAAUGAGAUAUUCAAUGUGACCACAUUGGGAAGGAAGACAGAAUAGUCCCAAGUUUAUCUGUGGGAAUUCUGACAUGAAGUUUAGAUUUAAACAGAGGGUAUGUGGCUUAAGCAGUCCAGGUCAUGGUGUGGUCCCACCCAUCACUGACCCAUCAUUGUCUCCGCUCCAGUCUCACUGGAAAGAUGCUCUGAUAUGUCAGGAUUGUGUGAAAUGUCUUUCCUAAAGACUAGCUCCUCCUCUGGCUAGCAACAGGCGUCACCCUUUUUUAUCUCUCAGCAUGAGAUUCCUGGGGAAAUUCCAACUCCUUGGGGACCAUUGUUUCAAUAGAAUGAUAGCCAAAGGUGUGUGGGGUGGGGUGGGGUGUGUGUGUGUGUGUGUGUGUGUGUGUGUGUGUGUGUGUGUGUGUGUGUUCCAGGAGAGUCUCUUUAGACUAUCUUCAUAUCUGAGGCUGGAGGGAUGCUCAGUCGUAUGAACUGUUUUUGCAGAGGACCCAAGUUGGGUUCCCAAUAUGUUGGGUAAUUCACAACUGCCCAUAACUCCAGUAUGGGUAAUCCAGUACCCUCCUCUGGCCCUCACAUGCACAAACCCCAUGCGUGGGCAAACAAGUAAGAAUAAAAAUAAAGUCUUUUUAAAAGCACGUAUAAAUGUGCAGCUUGGUGGUGGGGGCCGACUCUAUGAACCCAUCUUGGCAGCCUCCUUCUCCUGGAGCAGUUAGGUGUUUGGAGGAGGCUGGGGUCCACAUGGGAGAUUUUUCCCAUGAGGCCCGAGAAACAGUAGGUGUUUUCACUCAGUCUCACUUUUCAAAGUGUCAUUGAAGAGAUUUUUUUUUUUCCUACUUGUAAAGAUGACUACAUGGUAGCCCGUGUGGUAACUGGCUUUUCCCUGCAAGCGUUUUGAGGCUCUGGAACACUAAUUGCAGUGCACUUGCCUCAGGGAAAAAUCUGCGCAAAUAUUAUUGCGAAUGAUUCAGUGCCGAGGAGCCUUGGCGCCUUAACCUAUCUACGGUUUGAACUUUGUCAGGAUGAGCCUGUUUUCUUCUCUUCAGACAGGCUUGGUUUCUUUCUUCUGUGUUAUUUAGCCACUCCCUCUAUAUGUCUGAUGAUCUAAAACUGUACUCUAUCAGUUUUUAGAAACCCGAAGCAUAAUCACGUCAAAAAUACACAAGGAAAGAGAGUCACGUUCCUACAGUCUCAAGCCUCACCUCAGGGGGCCGUGGUUGUUAGCACUUCAAGGACAGACACUUUAUGUUCAUAGGUGUUUUGGUGUGUUGAACUCUUUUAGGAUAGACAGUACCAAGUACAGUAGCUGGAGAGAAGUGGACCGGUUUGCUGUAACCCUUGGUAUUUAUUGUCAAACUCUGUCCCCAAAGGGUUGCUGAAGUCCUUUGUCAUCAGUGAUGGAGAUUUUAAAAGUGUUUGUUGGGAGAGAGUGUGAAUGUAUGAGUCUGGGGCACGUGUGUGCAUACCUAUUUGUGGUGGUCCCGAAUCCAGGGGUCAGUCUCGGGUGUCUCUUUUAUUUAAAGCUUUAUUUAGGUAUUUUAUGUGUAUGAGUGCUCUGACUUCAUGUACAGACAGCACACCAGAAGAGGGCAUCAGAUCCCAUUGUAGAUGGUUGUGAGCCACCAUGUGGUUGCUGGGAAUUGAACUCUGGACCUCUGGAAGAGCAACCCAGUGCUCUUAACCACUGAGUCAUCUUUCUAGCCCCUUGGGUGUUUUUCCUGGGUUCUGUCUUGGUAUUUUUUGAGACCUGGGUCUCCUUGGCCUGGAGCUUACCGUGUAGACUACACUGGUUGGUUAGUUAGCCCCAGGGGUCUUCUGUCUGAGCCUCCUGGGUGCUGGGAUAACAGGCAUCUGUCCCAGCCUUCUUGUGGGUUCUUGGGCUUGAACUCAGAUCCUCAGUGUUUGUGUGGCAAGCACUGUACUGACCGAGCUAUCUUCCCAUCCCAGCUGUGGAAGGUCAGCCUCCCAUGUUGCUGAAAGGCUACAAGAAAUUCUUUCGAAGGAAAUCCUUCAUGAUAAAUGGCAGAUGUGGGUCCCAAGCCAGCAGAACCAUUCAGAUGUAGAUUUUCCUGUUUGUUGCCUGUCUUGUCUCCGUUCACUACGGGUAAAGGGAAGCAGUGUUUGGGGUGGAAUGAGCACUUCCAGAGAUUGGAAUUAUCUGGGUUAGUGAGUUGUGAUCAUAGCUAAUCUAGGCUGAAAAGGGGCUUGUGACUGCCAUGUCAGCCUUCUGGUUGGUCACUUGUGGUUUGGUGAUGUGUUUUUGAGGGGCCUGGGUCAAGUGAAGGGAUUUGAAGGUCCAAAGACAUUCACCCAGUAUAUGACAAAGAAUGCAAAUGUCCGGGUGUCUAGUCAUGGCUCACUAAAUGGAACCUUCUAGAUGCUAGCUCUUUCCAAGGAUGUGGAUUGAGGCCAGACUGUUUCUGUUUUGAAAAGUGAAGAAUGUGUUUAUUCAGAUGUUUUGGACACAUGUAAGGGAAUAUGAGCUACAUAAAUUUGAUUUUCUAGUCUGAUAGUUCCGUUCAAAAAGAAAAUAAAAACAUGACAUUAUUGUUAUUAACUUUGAUUUUAAUGACAACAUAUUCAAGAUAUAAUUCACAUACAGGUUUUUAUAUGUCCUUGGAGCUGUGGACUUAUCACCUGUAGUUCCAGAACAUUCCCACCAGCUCUAAAAUAAACACAGCACUCACUAGCAGACACCCCAUAUUUCCCUUUCCCUGGCUCUAGCCAGCCACCAGCCUACUUUCUAUCCCAGAGAAUUUGCCUUUUCAAGACAUUUUCUACAAGUGGGGUCCUAUAACGUGGUCUGUUGCGACUGGCCUCUGUCAGAUGGUAUCAUGUUAUCAUUUUCAUAACUGAAAAAAAAAUCUUCUCAUUGUGUGGCUAUGGGAAGACAACUCUCCCUGCUGAGGACACAUAAUCCCAGUCUUGAAAGUCACUUUGAAAGUCUAAAAUACUCAGGCAGUAUUAAUGUAUUAGUGGUUAUGAAGCCGGAAUGAAAUAUUCCAUAAGACUGAGAAUCCCACGUUGAAAAGAUCAGGAAGUGUACUUUUCAGAUUUAUUAGAACACACAGCUUUUUUUGUAAUUAUAGAAAGGAUGUCGGAAAUGGGCUUGCCUCUCAUCUGACAGGCCAGAGGCCUAGAAAGAGGAAGGGCCUUGUUUCUGGACCCAGCCCCCGAGCCCCUUUAGCAGCUUGCUUGAGGCAUCAUUUCCUUCUGGGGUACGUCUCAGGUUUGUAAGCCCCCCCCCCCCCCCCCUUGCUGUCUGGCUUUCCAUAUAGAAACGGCAGUACACUGGCAAGUAAGAGGGCAUUGGUGCUUCUCCGGGCUGAGCCUCAGCUCUCCUGCCUCUAGAGAAACAGCCUCUUGGCCCCACCUCCCUCCCAGCCCUGCCCUGGAGGUUGGAGUUUCAGGGGCUGAACACCCAGGCAGCCUCAGACAAAACAACCAGAGGAAUCAAGAGCAGGAAGAGAACUCAAUUGAGAAAUCUGUGAAGGUCAGUGCUGGAGCCAGACGGACGCUUCCCAGAGCGAGUGGAUGGAGAUGGUAUUGACUGAGAUCCCCAGCAUUCACCACCCGCACGCGAAGAAGGUUAACCUUGGACCUCCGCUGGCUGUCCUGCCCGGGCCCUCUCUUCUUGCUUGUAUCCCGUGCUCAGCAGCCUGGAAUGUACAGUCGCAGCACCACUCAGAAAAGGGGUUCUGGCUUCCUGGAAUGUUCAAGGUCUUCCUUUUGUUUCUGCUGCCUUCCCACCUCAGACCCAGCAGCUGGCUGGUGCCAACUCUGGAAUUUAAGAGAGUGGGACACAGAACACAGCCAUUUCGACUUGAAUGGGCUCAUGGGCCUGGUGAGACAUCGUUGCUGUGAUUACUGGGUUAUAUUUUCUUAUUUUUCUUUCCUUCAGGCACAGGAGGUCUAUCUCCUACCCACUUUAUACCUCAUCAGCCCUACAGAUUUCUCUGAUCCUCAGAGAAAGCGGUCCAAGGUCACUGGCAGAGGCGGAGCCCUGCGAGCUUCCCUUACCCCCACGCCUCUCUCCUUGGAACUUUCCAACCCUCCUCCCCACUCUGCUCAUCUGGACUUUGGCCCUUGGUCUCCCAGGUCAUUCCCAAAUUCAGUAAGAACUCUCAUAAAGGGAGCUUUUCCUUGGGGACAAAUCGUCUGUCCCCCUCCAUGAUGGUGCAGCACACCCCUCCCUAUCUGUUCCUCUCUCUGGCUUUGUAGCACACACCUCUCCCCAGACACAGGUUCUAGUCCUGUCUCGACAUGCCACCCAUACCUGCUUCGGUCUCAGCUGCUUGUAUUCUACCCUGACAGGGAAAGUCCCAAGGUUCGUGAGCCAUGAAGGAUUUCCUAGCCAUGGAAGGAUAGCCCAGGUGUUUGCUUCUUCCUUCUAGGGAUUGGCUGCUUGGUGUGCUUGGUGCUAGUUGAUUUGAUAACACAGAUUGCUCCUUCUCUCUGCUCUGUAAGAACUCACUUACUACACCCCUGGCAGAGAAGUGUGGGGAUGAGUAAAGUGCUUGCCAGAGAAGCCUAAAGACUGAGCUGACUCUCAGAACCUACGUCAAAAGCCAAGCAGGGCGGCAUAUGCUUGCAAUCCCAACACUGGGGAGGGAGGCAGGGUAGGCCAGCCAACCUAGCAAAAUUGGCAAGCACCAGGUCCCAGUGACUCCGCCUCAAAAAUACAAUGUAAUGACUGUUCUGAAGGAUACUAUUCGUGGUUUAUCUCUAGUGGCUGAGCACACAGGCACAUGUGAGGGGAGGGAGCAGGCAGUGCAUGUAUGGGGACUCGCCUUGAGUUGGGAGUCUGGGGCCUUGGCUGAAGUUGUACUCCAGCCCCAGGAGCCCUGUUCUGCCCUGUCUAGCACAGAUGGUACGCUGUGAACGGAGCAGACAGGAGCACUUGCAGACAGGCACCUUGAGUGGGGUGCGUUUUUCUCCUAGUCCUGCAUUGACUUAGUAGCUCUUUGUAGUUCCUUGUCAUUAGGUCAUGCUUUGGACUGAUCACACUAUCAAAUAUAACACAUGGCUCUUGGGCAGCUGAAAGAUGAAGAGGACACACCCAGUGUGUACCUUCCACUUGGCUGUGGGAGGGUGCAGGUGACAGCUGGGGACUGUGUCCUACCCCUUCACACCUUUCCCAAAGAUCUCCUCACCCACAGGGUGCUUGCUAUGUUUGCCUGUGUUGUUUAUUUUCCCUCAGACUCCUGGGAAGGACUUCCAGCUUACAACAGCCAGGGCUUCAGAUGGUAAUUAUUUAGAUAACAGCUUCUCUUUGACCUCAGGUGGUCAAGGUGCCUUCCCGUAGGAAUGCACACGUUUACCACUGGCUUCCUCUCCAACUUCUGUGCAAGGCAUUCUGGCUCCUUUGAAAGGACUUGGGUUACUUGGCCAGGUCUACAUGGCAGAAGGAAGCCAUUCUGAACUUGAAGUGUCUGGGAGGAAGAUGCUUUCCCUUCAUGGGCCUGUCCAGCCCCUUCCGUCCCCCUUGCCUUCCUGCUGAGCAGGCCUUGGUAUGGUCCCUGUGUGUUUUUAUCUUCCUUCCUAACCCUCCUUUCCUUGAGUCCUGGUUUCUGGCAAAACUGACCUAUGCUUGUAUUUUUUAGUUUUUCAGAUAUGAAUUCAGGUGUGACUGGCUGUGCUAGGCUUUGGAGUUGAAGAAAUUAGGGGGAAGACCACUACUGAUUUUAGAGCUGAGAGGGACCAUCGAGGCCACCCAGUAGAACUCUCUCACUGGGAAGCAGAGGACCCAGUCUGAGGGUCCUGCCUGUGGUCGUAUAGCUUGCCUCUGCCUUUGUGCACUGUCCUGACAUUGAAAAUCACCAAGGACAAGGAAGGCUUCUCAGCUCCCAGCAGAUGGAUGCGGUGUGAGCUUUGUGUGAGAUGGUCCGUGGGCUCCUGGCUUCCACCUUUAGGAACUCUAGCAUGACUUUAAAAUCCGAAGAACUUGGUGAGUUGGCAGACUGACUCCUUCCAGCAUGGGCCCGUCUAGUUCCACAGGGUCCCGUAACUAUAGUCAGAGGGUUCUACCUGCUUUAAUGCUCUGGGGUGACCGCCUUGACAUUUGUAAUCCUUGGAACAAAAGCUUCAUUUUCAUUUUGCCCUGGGCCCUGCAGAUGAUGAAGCCAGUGUUGAAUGUGGGUCACUACACUAAAUGCCAAGCAUUUGAUCAAUUUGUACUUGCAACUGAUUUGAAUUUGGGGAACAGGCCGUUCCCCGGGGAAUAAAGAAGGAUUCAUUUCUUUUUCCCUCGAAUACACUGUGUCCUGUUUUCCAAAUUCUCUGUACAUAUCAACUCUGCAGAUAAAUUAGAUGGCGGCAUUGUUCUUGCUGGAAGUGAAGGCUGGACCAUUGAGCUUGCAUCCUGCCCCCCUCAACCCCACCCAUCUUUCAGUCCAGAAGUGUGGUUCAGGAUCCCACUGUGGUAUGGGAUGUAGGGAGCUGAAAGCUGAGGCUGAGGAGGGAGGCUGCAGAGGGCAGAGAUGAAGCUGGGAGUCUCUGCACAGCCCAGCUUCCCGCUGUGCUACUCACCGGCUCUGAGCUUUUUAGGGGGAGGCAGGGAGCAAGCAGGUAUGAAACCUCCUGUAGCCCAAGCUGGCCUCAGACUUGAUAGGCAGUCAAGGAUGACCUUGGAUUUCAGAUCCUCCUUAUCUCCUGAGCACUGGGAUUACAGGUGCGGUUCCCGUGCCUGGAUUACUGUGUGGUACCCACAGGGCUUCAUCCAUGCACGCUAGGCCAAAACUCUUUUAUCUCUAGUCCAGUUCUGGGUCUUUGAGCCACACACUUUCCUGCUGUAUAGAUUCAAGUAUUAGGGUCACCCUGAAGGCUUUGAAGAAAAACUAGAGGAAACAUCUGUGUCUAGCAUUGUGCUUAAGCACAAAGUCUUAUUGGCUGGUAUUGCCUAGUAUUUUACCGCCAAUAUUGAAGGCCGACUGGGGUCUGACUGACUAGCUGUUGGGAAGAAUAAAGCAUUCCAGGCAGGAAGCAAAAUGGUCGUGAGUACACAGAGAGGGCUGGAGUGGAGCCCCAUCUUUUUUAGGAACUGAGAGGGAGGAGCCUAAAGUUCUCAGAAGCACAGGAUGAGCCCCAUAGGGUUGUUGCGAGGCAAUGGCCACAGAGUUGGGCUAAGCAAGAGCUCGGAAAUGGUAGCAGGGACUUCGGGCUGAGGCGCUCUCUGUGCAGUCCGUCACUUGGGAUAGCUGCCAUGUGGGAGAAGGACAGAGUCUGUGGCAGAAGGACAGAGCCUGUGGCAUCUGUUAGUGUUUUUAUCACUGUGACAAAACACUGGAUAUGAGGGGUUGGGGAUUUAGCUCAGUGGUAGAGUGCUUGCCUAGCAAGCGCAAGGCCCUGGGUUCGGUCCCCAGCUCCGGAAAAAACAAACAAACAAACAAACAAACAAACAAAAAAAAAACCACUGGAUAUGAAUAACUUAAGCGAGGAGAGUGGCUUUUGUUCUAUUUUGUUUUUCUAGACAGGGUUUUUAGGAGUCUCAAGCUAGUAUUGGUCUCAGUAUUGUAGCCAAGGAUGACUUGAGUUUCUGGUCCUGCCUCUGCGGGAUGCUGUGAUUACCAGCUACGCUAUACCCAGUAACUCUGCCAGCUGAGUUACGUCCCUCCUGGCCAAGGGAGGGAAGAUUUGUGAUUCCAUUUCAGUGGGCUUGUGAGGCACAUGCAGGUACUGGUGGCAGAGGGGUCUGCUCAUCUCAUGUCUGCUAAGGAGGGGAUGGGUGGAAGGGCAUGGAGGGAGGGGGAAGGAAAGAUCUGGAGACCAGACACCCUUUUAAAAGACACACCCCAGCAAUUUCCUCUCAGCCAGGACCUAUCUGCUACCACCUAGUGAUGUCAUCGUGUGAUUAUGUCAUCAGUGGAUUGGCCCAUUGGUGAGGCCAGAGUCUUCAGUGUUCGGAUCCACCAACACUGAUGAGAUCAAGGCUUCAACACAAAAGCCUAUGGGAGGAUACAUCAUGUCCAGCCCUGUAGCUUGUCUUUGCUACUUUGUGGAUUCUUCUUUUUCCUACCCUAACAUCCCCUCCCCACACCCUGUCUCACCCCUCUCACUAGGUAGGAGAAAAGGAAGGAUAGAGGGGAGAGAGAUAAAGAUUCUUGGAUUUAAUUUCUUCUUUGCGCAUGAUUAUUAACACACCCCUAACAACCCCCCUUUCAACAGCCGUCAACCACCAACCCUGCCUAUUGAGGCUCUAGCAUUUAUAGUCCCUCUGAAAAGUUCCCAGAAUUCCAAACGUCACACAAUUGCAGAAACUCUGCAGCUGGCAAAACCACGCCUCUACUAGAGCACGAGGCAAGUCAUAGCCACUGCUGCGGAUGAUCAGAAGCAGCCCCAUAUCCCUGCACCUGGAGUUAACUUGAAAACAUAGUCUUCCGAUGUUUCUGUGUUUUAAAAAUGAAACAAAAUCCCAGAAUUAUUACUACACAGCCCAUAACACUGAAGCAACUGCAUCCGAUGAACUGUUUUACCUCUGUAAGUUUUCCACGUGCUGAUGCCUUGUUACAGCUCUUGUCAGAGACAUGGGCCCUGUUGGGCUGACUUUCGCUAUACACCGUCUGCUCUGCAUCUUUCGCACUGGUGUAGGGAUUCAGUAGCAUCCGAGGUCCCUAACUGCCUUGGCUUCUGAUAGUCUUAGCACAUCCUCUCCUUCCUUCCAGGAGACAGUUGUAUCACAGCAAAGUUUUCAUGACAUUCCCAGGCCAAAAGAACACCGAAGAGUUCCAAUUGCCAAGAGUGUUAUCCUAACAACUUAUUUGUGUCCUUACGACAUAGUAGUCAUCAGGGAAAAAACAAUUACCUUUCACUUCACCUUACCACUGUUGCCACUGAAUGGAACACACACACACACACACACACACACACACACACACACACACACCCCUCUUUGGUGGCUUUCCUGGUUAGCUUUCAUAUACAGGAAGGACCCAGAUUACCUGAGAGAGUCUCACUUGGGGGAUUACUAGUCAGACUGGUUAAUGGGGCAUUUUCUUAAUUGCUAAUUGGUAAGAAUGUCCCAUCCACUGUGGGCAAUACCAUUCCUAGGCAAGGGGUCCUGGACAGUGUAAGGAAACUAGGGAGAGCAUGCCAGAAACCAGUGUCCUUCCAUCGUUUUUUUGCUUGAUUCCCGCCCUGAUUUCCCUGAAUGAUGGACUGGAAAUCUAAGACAGAAUAAACCAUUUCCUCCUCAAGUUGCUUUUGGCCGCGCUAUUUAUCACAGCAAAAGGAAAACAGAUAAGACUAGUGACCUUUGACCUUUCCAGUACUACAGACAAAUUCAGUACAACUUCCACCAUUUCCAGUGUUGAGUAAUUUUUCUGUGGUCCGGUUCUUUUAUCAAAGCAACUGUCAGCAGCCUCACCUUGUGGAGAUAGGGGGGUCAUCCAAAGAAUGUGGUGACACAAAAGUUUUGAGACUGUCAUCCCUUUUCUCUCACUUCCACAUAUAUAUGUAUGAAAGACACCUUGCCCCUCACUUAAGGAAGGUAAGCAUUUACAGACAGAUUUGGGCAUCUGCUAAGGACCUGGAAACCGUCAGGUUGUUGAACCAGAGAUCUUUCCAGUAAGCAUUCUGUAUAAGGGGAGCUGUGUGUUUCUCUCUUUGUUCCUAAAAGGUAGUUGUUGAAAAUGCUUAAUUUAAAAAGGAAAGGAAAGAAACAAAUGGUGGUUUAGAUGGUGCACACCUUUAAUCGCGGCACUCAGAAGACAGAGGCAAACGUAUCUCUGUGAGUUCAAGGUCAGCCUGGUCUACAUAGUGAGUUUCGGGACAGCCAUGGCUAUGCAGAGAGAUCUUGUCUGAAAAAAAAAAUAAUAAUAAAGAAAUAAAAGAAAGUGAUUAAUGAUACCGUCUGUGAACCCCCAGAGAUGAUGAGUUCUAAGGGUUUGACAUUUAUGAAGUGGUGUGCCUAUUAGUUUAUAACAGACAAAGGCGGGUCAUUUGCCUUUUGGGAUUGAAGUCUGGCAGCCAUUAGCUCAUAAAACGAUAAGAAAUAGUUGGCUGUGCUUAAUGGGCCAUUUGUGGUGUUAAAAUCAGUAAUACUAAAUAUUUAUUAGCCAAGCGGAAAGAUUUAUCUCUGUAAAUUGCUGUGACUCAUCUUUCCGCGGGCCGAUUCUGGUUAUUUAGAUUAAUUUUUGUUUAAAAAUGAAGUCCUGUUGUAGGUCCUUCAGUGCUUCCUGUGUGAGACUCGCAUGUAUGGUACCAGUCUUUAAUGUCGACAUACAUUUUAGAAGUAGGCUUUCUACUAAAACUCCUGAGGUUUUCUGUGGAAGUGUGUUUUAAUCUACACAUCCACUGGGGGAAAUUGAAAACUUAGCAGCGCUGAGCCUCGAAACUGCAAGUCUGGUAUUUUUCUGCAUUUAUUUAGGUCUAGUUUAACUUGUUUGGACACUUGUUCUGGAGCAUUCGAGGGGCAGUUCUUACACAACCUUGUUAAUGUUUUCCCCAGGUAUUUUUUUAAUACUUUUGAUGUCGUUAUGAUAUUUGUAAGUUUUUUUUGCUGUCAUUGUUCAUUGAUAAACAUACAAAGUCUAAUGCAUUCUGCGUAUUGACCUGCUUUCCUACGGCACCACUAAACUCAUGUAUCCGGGUAUUUUAUUUUUAUAUUCCCUAAGAGUUUUCUAGAAGGACCAUCAGUUCAUAUCAAAGCAAUGUUUAUGUUUUUCUUUCCAAUCCCCAUGUCUCUAGUUUUCCUCUCCUGCCUCAUUGUAUGUGGGCCACUACUAUAGGGCAGCCAGUUCCAGCUUUGUGCUCUGUUUAGCCAUGGGACAAUUAGGAAGGGCCAGCCUCAGCCCCACAGACUUCCUUCUCCCCCAGCUAAGGGAGCAGACGGAAUGGGGAGUGGGGGAUGGGGUCCUGCUCCUUAGGGUGUGGCGGGCUUGCCUUCGGGUGGGUCUCUCCGUAGAGUGCCCGUCUGGGUUGCAGUGUGGUUAGAUCGGUGCUGACUCAACCUCUGGCUUCUUCUGCAAAGCCGUGGGGUGACUGUGAGCUGGUUCAGGUUGUGAUCAGAAAAA